GAUGAACGUUGGCGGCGUGCCUAACACAUGCAAGUCGAGCGAGAAAGCUCCUUCGGGAGUGAGUACAGCGGCGAACGGGUGUCUAACACGUAAGAAUCUUCCCUUCAGUGAAGAAUACUCUCGAGAAAUCGAGGUUAAUACUGCAUAUUCCCUUCGGGGGAAAGGUGGCUUUAUGCUGCCGCUGAAGGAUGAGCUUGCGGGCUAUUAGCUAGUUGGUGAGGUAAAGGCUCACCAAGGCGAUGAUGGCUAGCCGGCCUGAGAGGGUGUACGGCCACAUUGGGACUGAGACACGGCCCGGACUCCUACGGGAGGCAGCAGUGGGGAAUAUUGGACAAUGGGGGGAACCCUGAUCCAGCCAUGCCGCGUGUGUGAAGAAGGCCUUUUGGUUGUAAAGCACUUUAAGCGAGGAGGAGGCUACCGAGAUUAAUACUCUUGGAUAGUGGACGUUACUCGCAGAAUAAGCACCGGCUAACUCUGUGCCAGCAGCCGCAGUAA
rnacentral:rRNA from 1 species